AUUGAACGCUGGCGGCAGGCCUAACUCAUGCAAGUCGAGCGAGCGGCGGACGGGUGAGUAAUGUAUGGGGACUGCCCGAUAGAGGGGGAUAACUACUGGAAACGGUAGCUAAUACCGCAUACUAUCGGAUAACCCAUAUGGGAUUAGCUAGUAGGUGAGGUAAUGGCUCACCUAGGCGACGAUCCCUAGCUGGUCUGAGAGGAUGAUCAGCCACACUGUGACUGAGAAACGGCCCAGACUCCUACGGAGGCAGCAGUGGGGAAUAUUGCACAAGGGGCGCAAGCCUGAUGCAGCCAUGCCGCGUGUAUGAAGAAGGCCCUAGGGUUGUAAAGUACUUUCAGGCUGGAGGCGUGAGCGACAGAGGAAGCACAGGCCAAAGCCGUGCCAGCAGCCGCGGUAAUAC
rnacentral:rRNA from 1 species